rnacentral:lncRNA from 1 species
UGGUAGUAAAAUCUGAUACUUCUAUAAAUUCACACCCUCCAAAGACUGAACCUAACACAAAGCUAUCCUGUUAUUAGAGAUCAGAAGAUGCCCAACCCUCCACCACCAGAUCCCCACCACCACCACGACCACCACCCACCUCCACAACACGCACCUCCUCCAGGUCCUCCACACCAUGAACCUCCUCCCCUUCACACCCAUGCUCCUCCACCGGGUCCCCAGGCGCCUCCACCGGGUCCUCCUGAGCCACACAAACCUGGACCACCUCAUCAUCACCGUCCUUAAUUAAGAGAGUUGAUCAAGUACUUAAGAGGAGCAUAAACAUGGAGGAACUAGAGCAUAUAUCCAUAGAUGUCUGUGUGUGUAUUGUUGAAGCUACUUAAUUUCUAAUGUUUAGCAUUAUAUGUAAGCUACUGGGGCUGGCUCACAUGCCGGAUCUCCUGAUUACUGUAUGUGGUUAUUGUAUGAUAAUUAAUUAUAAUAAAUUGAUAAGUAGCAAAUUAAUCUAUGUCUAUUGUUUAUUUUAUUGAAUUUAGUAAAUUUUUUAAUUUAUUAAUAAUUUUUAUUUAUGACUAAUGAGAAUUAAAAAUAAAUGGUUUAAAUUUUAAAUUUAUCAUAUUUACUCGAAUGCAUUUACUAGCGGAUGAGGAAAAAAUAUUUUAUAUAUAAGUAUUUGAAGUUUUAAUUUAUUUAGAAUUAAAAAAAUUCUAAAAUUAUAUGUUUAAAAAUCAAUCAAAAAAUGUAAGUUAAAACUCUAAUUUUAUAUUAUUUUAUUUUAAAAGUAUUUAUAAAUUGUAAAUUAAUUUAAAAAAUUUAAUAGUGUUAAUGAAGUGGAUGAUAGUUUGGACAAUAAAAUUAAUAAAUAUUAGAGGAAUUAAAUUUAGUUAAUUAAAUUGUUAUACUUGAAACAUAUGAAUUAAUCUCUUAUUAUAUGUAUAUAAAUAUUAGGAACUAAUUGAUAAAUUACUCAUUAAUUAAAAAAUAUGAUAAAUUUUAAAAUUUUAAACAAUUAAAAUUUGUUUAGAAGAAAAUUAACCCUUUUAGUUCAAUUCAAUAAGAAAUCCGAAUCAAUAAUUAAAAGAAAAAAUUAAUUAUUAAUUAAUUAAUAUAAUAUGAGAAAAUUUAUUAUUCAUUAUGAAAAUUAAAUAUAUUAAAAUGUUUUUAAAAUUUAAAAAAUAUUUUACUAAUUAGCUAAUUUAUUAUUUUAACAGUUUAAUAUUAGAAAAAAAAUUUAAAUAAUUUCAAUACAAAAUUAAUGAAUUUUGUAGGAUUGAAUGUUUAUCAUUGUAUCAAAAGUUUAAGAUUAUGUUUAUUUUCAUUGCAGUUUUUUGUUUUUUAUUUGAUAAAAAAUAAAAAAUUUAUUCGAUUGUUAGUAUUUCAUUUUAAUUUUUAUUACUUAUUAAAAGAGUUUUUAAAAAUUAAAAACCACAAAUAUUAAUUUUUAUUUACAAAUUCCAUUAAAUUAUUAUAUUCCUUUAUAAUUUUUAUCAAGUUAUUAUUAACAAUUUCAAAAUUUUUUUCAUGAUUAAUCAAAUUUUAUUUUAAAUAUAUAUUUAUUCAAUUAAUUUAUAAAAUAUAUUUUUAUUUUAUUAUUAUUAGAGAAAUUUUCUAUUUAAUCUUUAUAUUAUUUAAAAACUCAUUAAUUAACUCCUUAAUUUUAAAAAAUACAUUAAAAAAUACUUAAUUUCUUAAGAAAUCUAUUAAUUAGUCAUUCUAUUAGUUUUAAUUUUUAAACAUUUUAUUAUUUAGUCCUUAUCAGAUAAAAAACUCAUUAGUUAGUAAUUAUUUCUUUUAGAUUAAACAUAUUUUAAAUUUUUUAUAAGAAAAAUUUACUAUUUAGUUCAUAUAAUAUGAUAAAACUUAUUAGUUGAUUUUUUAAUUUUUAAAGAUAUAUUAAAAUGUCUAUAAAAUAUUAAAAAAUAUAAUAAUUAGUAUUUUUAUUAAUUUAACUAUUAAGUAUUUUACUAUUUAUUUUUUGUGAUAAAAAUAAUUUAUUAAUUAAUUUUUUAAUUUUAUAAAAAUAUUUACUAAUUAAUUCUUUACAUCGAGGUAUUUUAAAUUUUUUAUAAUAUUUAAUAAUUAAAAUUAUUGAAAAAAUUAAUUAGUACCUUUUUAAAGUUUAGAGAUAUUUUAAUAUAUUAUUUAAAAUCAAAUGACUAAUUUGUGAGUUUUUAUAUAUUAUAUGGGUUAAAUAAUAAAUUUUAUUUUUCAGCACUUAAUAAAUAAAAUUAAAGAAAAUAAGUAGAUUUUUAAAAUAUCAAGAAUAUUUUAAUAUAUUUUUAAAAUAAAAUAUAAACUUAUUUUUAUAAAAAAAAAUAAAUACUAUUAAAUAUAAAAAUAAGUUUAUAUUUUAUUUUAAAAAUAUAUUAAAAAUUAACAAGGGCAACUCUUAAUUUUUUAUAACAACUAAAAUUGGUUUUUUUAGAAGAAAAAUAACCUUUUGUUUGUAUAACGAUUCAAUAUUUUUUAAAAAAAAAGAAUCAAUUUAUAAUUUAAAAUAAUUGAAUUAAAAAAAAAAAGACAAAAUUUAAAACAAUUCUGACCCUUCUCAAACAAAAUGACCUUACCGACACAAGUGCACAAGACAACACGUAUAGAUAAAGUCAAGGAGGGACAAAUCCUUAGCUAAACAAAUAUAAGAAUAUUAGGUGAUGAACGACGACGGAUUGACUCUUAGUUGUGAAAUUGACAGUAAGUUGGCUUCAUCCUUAACCUCCACCAGUAUAUAAUUACUCCCGAUCAUUCCAUACUUGGCCACAAGAAAAAGAAGAUGCACAACCCUCCACCACAUCAUCACGGUCCACCGCACCACGGACCACCUCCUCCGCAGCCACCUCCUCCGCAGCCACCUCCUCCUGGGCCUCCUCAUCAUCAUCACCAUCCUCCUCCGCCUGUUGAUCCCCGUCCACCUCCACCGGGUCCUCAUGGUCCACACCAUCAUCCACCACCUCACCACCACUAAUUAGUCCAAUGGGCAAUUGGACACUUAUUACAUAUAUAUAAUGUGAAAAGUGUGUAGCUAUGGUUUGUGCUAGAAUUAGUAGCAGAGGGUUAGAAAGAGUUGAACUCAAAAUCUCCUAAUUUAGCUUUACUGUAGUCAUCGUCGGCCGAACUAAACCUGUAACUCAGUUUGCUACUAUAUUAUAAUAAAUAAAAUAAUUAAAGCACCAUUUCUAUAUGGUUUGCUCGUGUUUUGCCUUCUUCUUUCGUCUCUUACUUUAUAAUAAUCAAACUCUGUUGUUUUGCUAUUUUUUUUCCAAUUUCUAGAGUGAUUGGAUACAUCAAUGCUUUGGGAUUAUAUGAAUAUGAUACUUCUAGUUAAAGAUGUCUCUGGGAGUAUAUGAUACUUUCGAAUUAAACAAUGCUCAUAAUUUAAUUAAAUUAGGAAUUUUCAUUGAAUAAUAAAAAUUGGAUAUUUUAUUAAUUAGGUAUUUAAUUUUUUUAGGAGUAUUUUUAAAUUGUUUACAUUUUAAAGAAGAUAAAUUUAAAUAAGCCCAUAAAGUCAAAUAAGCUUAAAUUUAUCUUCACUCACUAU